rnacentral:rRNA from 1 species
UACGUAGGGGGCAAGCGUUGUCCGGAAUCAUUGGGCGUAAAGAGCGUGUAGGCGGCUUGGUAAGUCCGCUGUGAAAGUCCAGGGCUCAACCCUGGAAAGCCGGUGGAAACUGUCAAGCUUGAGUCCGGAAGAGGCGAGUGGAAUUCCUGGUGUAGCGGUGAAAUGCGCAGAUAUCAGGAGGAACACCGAUGGCGAAGGCAGCUCGCUGGGACGUGACUGACGCUGAGACGCGAAAGCGUGGGGAGCAAACAGG